rnacentral:rRNA from 1 species
UACGAAGGGGGCUAGCGUUGCUCGGAAUUACUGGGCGUAAAGGGCGCGUAGGCGGCCGAUCAAGUCAGGCGUGAAAUUCCCGGGCUCAACCUGGGGCUGCGCUUGAGACUGGUUGGCUAGAGGCCGAGAGAGGGUGGUGGAAUUCCCAGUGUAGAGGUGAAAUUCGUAGAUAUUGGGAAGAACACCGGUGGCGAAGGCGGCCACCUGGCUCGGUACUGACGCUGAGGCGCGACAGCGUGGGGAGCAAACAGG